GAGCCAUUGUCAAUUAUAUCGACUUCAGUAUUCGACUGGUACUUUACUUUAUUGAUCUAAUAGGAAUGAAAGACGAAGUUAAUCUCAGCAGGAUUUAAACUCAGAAUGUAACAGGCCGGAACAAAUAUACCAAGACAUGCUAGUUAAAUUUCUACGGAGACAAAAAAUGAACAUAAAGCAUCUGAAAGCAUUAAAAAAAAAAUACUAAGGACGAAAAUGAAUUUUAUUCUCUAAAUCCUAAUCUAAUGCAAUACUCUCAUGCCAAUUUGUUGAAGAAAGCAGCCCAAGCAAUCUGCUGGUCUACUGACGCCUGCCUGGUGAUUACUACAAUGACAUACUGAAAAAAUGGGUUCAACAAACAUAAUCAACUGAAACAAAGAUAGUAUAUUUAAACAGAAACACGGUAACAAAAGAAUUGAAUUAUGUUGGUGGAGAGCAGGAACAAAUUUAUAGAUUUGCACUUCACUUGCACUUUACUUGAGUGAAUGGGGAAGGCUGGAGUGGGACUCAAAAGAGGGAAAUAGUGAUUUCAAGGAGUCAGAAUUUACAUGGUAACAUAUGUAAGAGAUUAUAGCAUGGAUACACAAAAAUCAACAAAACAAUGAUAGUAUGGUAUAUAGAAACAGGUUUCUUACAAUAGCAGAAUAAUAUAGUAGAUAAGGAGAGUGAUGGAGGGAUGUGUUUGGGUGAUGAGGUGUGAAGUUAGAGGUUGCAAGUGGAAAAGAGUGAGAGAUAAAUAUUAACAAAGAAUGGGAAAGAAAUGCAGAUGAUAAGAAUGAGGAAUAAGUAUGGCUUGAGAUAAAAAAAGAUUCAGUUGAAUGAAUAGCAUGCAGGAUACAUUAUGUUUUGAAAGCCUCAUUCACAAUGUUGUGACUGAGAAGACUUGCUGGGUAAGUUUUCUCAAGUACAACAAAUCACCAACCAUCACAGUCUCUUGUCAUGAGUCUUUGCAAUCCAAGAUCAGCUUUCACCACUAUCUCACUAUCUUCCACAGGUUCCAUCAACUGUGAGUGAUCAUCCAUAUACAUCACAUCCACACCAACACAGUCUUCUCCUAAUACAUUUUUACUGCUUUAAUUACACACAACGAUGCUGCACAUCCAGCGGAGCAUGUUUGCUUCAUUUAUUUCACAUCCUUGCAGGUCCUCUGUAUGCUGGGUCCAUGUUUCUAUCAUGGAGCAUAGUAGUUCAUAUACAAGCAUCAUACAGUCUGCCUUUCACUGAGAGAGACACCUUUUACUACCAACAGAGGUAAUAGAUCCCAAACCUUCUCCAUUCUUAUUCUAGCAACUUAUACUUUCUGAUCAUCCACUAUCAUUGCUGAUUAGAUAACCAAGAGAACAGAAACUAUCUACUACCUCUGGGAUCCUCCUGGGCUUUUGAGGGCAUCUACUUCCCACAUGUUCUUAAGAAUUUAUUGUUCCAGCACAUCUGCUUUCUCCGAUAACUUGUGCUUUUAAAUAUUUCAUUGUCACUAAUUGUUAGCAAUUAGAAUAUUAAAAAUGUUGAUUACAUUUCAGAUUUACUUUUUCUGUUAUUUAUU